CACCGGCGCCACGAGUGGGGAUCACGUUUAUUGGGCCUAAAGCAUCCGUAGCCUGUUUUGUAAAUCCUUUGUGAAAGCGUUGAGCUCAACUUAACGAAAGGCAGAGGAAACUGCAAGACUUGGAACUGGGAGGGGUUGGAGGUAUUUCUAGGGGAGCGGUAAAAUGCUAUAAUCCUAGAAGGACCACCUGUGGCGAAGGCGUCCAACCAGAACAGCUUCGACGGUGAGGGAUGAAGGCUAGGGGAGCGAUCCG
rnacentral:rRNA from 1 species